GUAGGUUAUGGUGAUAUGACUCCGAAAACAUACUUAGGAAUGUUUGUUGGGUCGUUGUGUGCUCUCACCGGGGUGCUAACCAUUGCCCUGCCUGUCCCUGUCAUCGUCAGCAAC
rfam:Helobdella robusta unplaced genomic scaffold HELROscaffold_32, whole genome shotgun sequence.